GCUAACGUCAGAGUUAGGUAGCCGCUAGCUACGGCUAGCUAGAAGGGUUUGUCGUGACGUUGCCUGGAACGCUACCAAGUCAUGAGUCGUGACUUGAAGUUGUAACUUACAGGCUAAAAACUGUGUCUGGAACGCAGCAUUAGCUGCAAUAGAU